GAAUUCGAUUAACGCGAAGAACCUUACCUGGGCUAGACAACGGCGGACCAUCCUAGAAAUAGGAUUUUCCUUUCGGGGACCGCCGGUUCAGGUGCUGCAUGGCUGUCGUCAGCUCGUGCCGUGAGGUGUUGGGUUAAGUCCCGCAACGAGCGCAACCCUCGUCCUUAGUUGCCACCAUUAAGUUGGGCACUCUAGGGAGACUGCCGGCGUUAAGCCGGAGGAAGGUGGGGACGACGUCAAGUCAUCAUGGCCCUUAUGUCCAGGGCCACACACGUGCUACAAUGGGCGGUACAAAGGGUCGCAAACCCGCGAGGGGGAGCCAAUCCCAAAAAGCCGCUCUCAGUUCGGAUUGGAGUCUGCAACUCGACUCCAUGAAGUUGGAAUCGCUAGUAAUCGCGGAUCAGCACGCCGCGGUGAAUACGUUCCCGGGCCUUGUCACACCGAAUCACUA
rnacentral:rRNA from 1 species